AUAACUGUAAUAACUCUAGAGCUAAUACAUGCCACGAUGCCCUGACCUGUGUCCUGCACAGGGAUGGGUGCACUUAUUAGAUCAGAAACCAACCGAGCCCUGUUCGCAGGGCUUGUUGUCGUUCUGGUGACUCUGGAUAAUUGUUACAGAUCGCAGUCGGCCUUGCGUCGGCGACGGGUCCUUCAAAUGUCUGCCCUAUCAACUUUCGAUGGUAGGUGAUCUGCCUACCAUGGUGAUAACGGGUAACGGGGAAUCAGGGUUCGAUUCCGGAGAGGGAGCCUGAGAAACGGCUACCACUUCCAAGGGAGGCAGCAGGCGCGCAAAUUACCCACUCCCGGUACGGGGAGGUGGUGACGAAAAAUACCGAUGCGGGACUCUUCAAGAGGCUCCGUAAUCGGAAUGAGUGAACUCUAAAUCCUUUCACGAGGAUCAAUUGGAGGGCAAGUCUGGUGCCAGCAGCCGCGGUAACUCCAGCUCCAAUAGCGUAUAUUAAAGUUGCUGCAGUUAAAAAGCUCGUAGUUGGAUCUCGGUAUCACUGUUGCCUGCCAUUGCUUGGCCAGCUGGGUGCCGGGUGAUGCGGCUGAGUGCCGUGUUGCCUUGGUGUUCGACUGUUGUCGAGUUGGUUUGGUAGCGGUGCCACCUUUUAGCCAUGUCUGUGGUGAAAUACCCACAGGUGUAGGCAAGUGUCAGGCGGUGCUCUGCAGCUGUAGGGUCCGUCGGCUCGUCUGCAUGCCUUUGGAUGCCCUUUAAAAGGUGUCUGUGGGCGGAUGGCACGUUUACUUUGAACAAAUUUGAGUGCUCAAACCAGGCCGUUGUAGCCUGAAAAGUUUUGCAUGGAAUAAUGGAAUAGGACUUCGGUUCUAUUUUGUUGGUUUUCGGAUCCGAAGUAAUGAUCAAAAGAGACAGGCGGGGACGUUUGUAUGGUUGCGCUAGAGGUGAAAUUCAUGGACCGUAACCAGACAGACUAAAGCGAAAGCAUUCGUCAAGCAUGUUUUCAUUGGCCAUGAGCGAAAGUCAGAGGCUCGAAAACGAUCAGAAACCGUCCUAGUUCGGACCAUAAACGAUGCCCACUGACGAUCCGGGGUGGUAAUUUAAUAACCGUCCCUCCGGGCA
rnacentral:rRNA from 1 species